rnacentral:rRNA from 1 species
CACACGAGUUUGAUCCUGGCUCAGAUUGAACGCUGGCGGCAUGCCUUACACAUGCAAGUCGAACGGCAGCGGACCUUCGGGUGCCGGCGAGUGGCGAACGGGUGAGUAAUAUAUCGGAACGUACCUUUCAGUGGGGGAUAACGUAGCGAAAGUUACGCUAAUACCGCAUAUUCUGUGAGCAGGAAAGCAGGGGAUCGCAAGACCUUGCGCCGAUUGAGCGGCCGAUAUCAGAUUAGCUAGUUGGUGAGGUAACGGCUCACCAAGACUACGAUCAGUAGGGGUACUGAGAGGUUAAACCCCCCACACUGGUACUGAGACACGGACCAGACUCCUACGGGAGGCAGCAGUAAGGAAUAUUGGACAAUGGCCGCAAGGCUGAUCCAGCCAUGCCGCGUGCAGGAAGACGGACCUAUGGUUUGUAAACUGCUUUUGAACGGGAGAAAACCCCCCUACGUGUAGGGGGCUGAUAGUACUGUUAGAAUAAGCAUCGGCUAACUUCGUG